rnacentral:rRNA from 1 species
GAUGAACGCUGGCGGCGUGCCUAAUACAUGCAAGUCGAGCGAACAGAUGAGGAGCUUGCUCCUCUGACGUUAGCGGCGGACGGGUGAGUAACACGUGGAUAACCUACCUAUAAGACUGGGAUAACUUCGGGAAACCGGAGCUAAUACCGGAUAAUAUAUUGAACCGCAUGGUUCAAUAGUGAAAGACGGUUUUGCUGUCACUUAUAGAUGGAUCCGCGCCGCAUUAGCUAGUUGGUAAGGUAACGGCUUACCAAGGCAACGAUGCGUAGCCGACCUGAGAGGGUGAUCGGCCACACUGGAGCUGAGACACGGUCCAGACUCCUACGGGAGGCAGCAGUAGGGAAUCUUCCGCAAUGGGCGAAAGCCUGACGGAGCAACGCCGCGUGAGUGAUGAAGGUCUUCGGAUCGUAAAACUCUGUUAUUAGGGAAGAACAAAUGUGUAAGUAACUAUGCACGUCUUGACGGUACCUAAUCAGAAAGCCACGGCUAACUACGU